rnacentral:rRNA from 1 species
GUCGAGGGGCAGCGGGGAGCAAGCUUGCUUGCUCUGCCGGCGACCGGCGCACGGGUGAGUAACACGUAUGCAACCUGCCCUCCGCAGGGGGAUAACCCGGAGAAAUCCGGACUAAUACCGCGUGGUACAUCUGUGGGGCAUCCCACGGGUGUUAAAAGGAAGCGAUUCCGGCGGAGGAUGGGCAUGCGGCGCAUUAGCUUGUUGGCGGGGUAACGGCCCACCAAGGCGACGAUGCGUAGGGGUUCUGAGAGGAAGGUCCCCCACACUGGUACUGAGACACGGACCAGACUCCUACGGGAGGCAGCAGUGAGGAAUAUUGGUCAAUGGGCGGGAGCCUGAACCAGCCAAGUCGCGUGAGGGAAGACGGUCCUAUGGAUUGUAAACCUCUUUAGGCGGGGAGCAAUGCCGGGCACGCGUGCCCGGAGGGAGAGUACCCGCAGAAUAAGCAUCGGCUAACUCCGUGCCAGCAGCCGCGGUAAUACGGAGGAUGCGAGCGUUAUCCGGAUUUAUUGGGUUUAAAGGGUGCGUAGGCGGAUUUUUAAGUCAGCGGUAAAAUGUCCGGGCUCAACCCGGGCCGGCCGUUGAAACUGGGGAUCUUGAGUGGGCGAGAAGUAUGCGGAAUGCGUGGUGUAGCGGUGAAAUGCAUAGAUAUCACGCAGAACUCCGAUUGCGAAGGCAGCAUACCGGCGCCCGACUGACGCUGAGGCACGAAAGCGUGGGGAUCGAACAGGAUUAGAUACCCUGGUAGUCCACGCAGUAAACGAUGAAUGCUAGUUGUCCGGUUCUUUGGGACUGGGUGACACAGCGAAAGCGU